rnacentral:rRNA from 5 species
UUAGAGGAAGUAAAAGUCGUAACAAGGUCUCCGUUGGUGAACCAGCGGAGGGAUCAUU